AAUUGUCCAAGAUUUCGGUAUUUGUAAUCAUCUGGGUUUUAUCCAAUAUGCAUACAUUAUGUAACAUUGAAUUAUAACUAAAAACAGCUGUUUAUAACUUGUGAAAAACAAUGUCAUUGUCACGCCCAUAUGCUCAUUUUUCCCCCUCCCAUCCUGCUAUGAAAAUGGGGUAUAAAUAUAACUGAUGUAUGAAUACAAUUUGAAUUGGUUAUCGAACAUGUCUCUGCUAUUCAUUUCCAAUUUCCAGAGCUCUGUAUGAGUUGGCAAAUAUCCAUCAUCCACAAAGGGCCUGGGCUGAUUUUAUUCCCAACAACCUCCCAACUGUCCACACCUGUAUGCCAUGAGUGUGGGUGUGUCUACUAAACAGCAAGUAGUCAGUGGCUGAUCACUUGAAUAAAAAAAAACUAGUGACUGGGUAGAUAUUGCUUCAGCCACUAUUAACACAUAGGGGUCUCUUCUGUGCCUCACCUAUGGACAUCAGGUGGGAGCUUCAAAUGAUCAAGUGAUCUGUCCACCUCCCAUGUUCCCACCCAUGACUAGUGGAUUGGGGCUAUUACAUUAAGAAAGCAAAUUGUGGAUAAUGAAGUAAAUGUUAAAUGGGGAACAAAGUUUUCCCUUUUGUCCAAACCAGAUUCAGAAAGUUGGGGUUAAAACAAAUUGGGGAACUAUUGCCCUUAAUGAUUGGCGGUGAAUGGGAACUAUAAGUGCAUAUAGAAGGGAGUUGAUAUGCAAUUCUCCACCCACUGCAGUAUCAUGUCCACCAACACAAGUUGUAAAGAUUUCCAAGCC